rnacentral:rRNA from 1 species
GCAAUGCGUGCAAGCGCGACGGAGUGACUCCUAGUGCCGGUGGUCUAGCGACCGUCGGCUUUUUUGGAAUGUAAAAAGUUCCAAGAAUAAGGGCUGGGUAAGACUGGUGCCAGCCGCCGCGGUAACACCAGCAGCUCAAGUGGUAGCCGCUUUUAUUGGGCUAAAGCGUCCGUAGCCGGGCCGGCAAGUCCCUUGUGAAAUCGGGCGGCUUAACCGUUCGGCUUGCAAGGGAAACUGUUGGCCUUGGGGCCGAUAGGCGUCGAGGGUACUCCGGGGGUAGCGGUGAAAUGCUAUAAUCCCUGGGGGACCGCCGGUGGCGAAAGCGCUCGACGAGGUCGGACCCGACGGUGAGGGACGAAGGCCAGGGGAGCGAACCGGAUUAGAUACCCGGGUAGUCCUGGCUGUAAAGGAUGUGGACUAGGUGCUGGGUGUUCCUCGAGAAUGCUCGGUGCCGAAGGAAAGCCGUUAAGUCCACCGCCUGGGAAGUACGGCCGCAAGGCUGAAACUUAAAGAAAUUGGCGGGGGAGCACCACAAGGGGUGGAGCCUGCGGUUUAAUUGGAUUCAACGCCGGACAACUCACCGGGGGCGACGGCAGAGUGAAGGCCAGGCUAAGGACCUUGCUGGACUCGCCGAGAGGUGGUGCAUGGCCGCCGUCAGCUCGUAUCGUGAAACGUCCUGUCAAGUCAGGUAACGAGCGAGACCCUUGCUCCUAGUUGCCAGCAGGUGCCUUCGGGCACGAUGGGCUACUCUAGGAGGACCGCUGUCGAUAAGACAGAGGAAGGAGAGGGCGACGGUAGGUCCGUAUGCCCCGAAUCUCCCGGGCAACACGCGGGCUACAAUGCGUAGGGCAGAGGGCUGCGACCCCGAGAGGGGAAGCUAAUCCCUAAACCUACGCUUAGUUCGGAUCGAGGGCUGAAACCCGCCCUCGUGAAGCUGGAAUCCCUAGUAAUCGUGUGUCAUUAUCGCGCGGUGAAUACGUCCCUGCUCCUUGCACACACCGCCCGUCAAGCCAUCCGAGUGGGAUCUGGAUGAGGCUCGUUCUGAUGAGCGAGCCAUCC